CGCGUGGGAAUCUACCUAGUAGUUGGGACAACCUGGUGAAAACCAGGCUAAUACCGAAUACGCCCUACGGGGAAAGAUAGCCUCUUCUUGAAAGCUUUCGCUAUUAGAUGAGCCCGCGUUAGAUUAGCUAGAUGGUGUGGUAACGGCACACCAUGGCAACGAUAGAUAGGGGCCCUGAGAGGGGGAUCCCCCACACUGGUACUGAGACACGGACCAGACUCCUACGGGAGGCAGCAGUGAGGAAUAUUGGACAAUGGAGGUAACUCUGAUCCAGCCACGCCGCGUGCAGGAAGACUGCCC
rnacentral:rRNA from 1 species